rnacentral:rRNA from 1 species
CGAAAGCCUGACGGAGCAAGACCGCGUGCGGGAGGAAGGCCUUAGGGUUGUAAACCGCUUUUCUCAGGGAAGAAGAUCUGACGGUACCUGAGGAAUAAGCAUCGGCUAACUCCGUGCCAGCAGCCGCGGUAAGACGGAGGAGGCAAGCGUUAUCCGGAAUUAUUGGGCGUAAAGCGUCCGCAGGUGGCGAUUCAAGUCUGCUGUCAAAGCACGGGGCUUAACUCCGUUAAGGCAGUGGAAACUGAAUGGCUAGAGUGCCGUAGGGGUAGAGGGAAUUCCCGGUGUAGCGGUGAAAUGCGUAGAGAUCGGGAAGAACACCGGUGGCGAAAGCGCUCUACUGGACCACACCUGACACUCAGAGGACGAAAGCUAGGGGAGCG